GCAGAGAGACCAGGGAAAACAACAGUUGCUUUGAUAGAGGAAAUGAAGAAAAUGAAAAUAUUCAAAGGACAACUUAAAAUAGCAAUGUACAGUUAACUGAUGUGAGCUUUACCUGUGUCUAUGGUAAGAAGGAUCUGAAGCAUGUGUGCCAUGGUGAUCAAAUGGAAGAGAUAAAGGUGGUUAUACGAGGAACUAAUUGAUGAAGGCUGCAGAUCAACAGUGUCAUCCCAAUACAAGGAUGGAAAUGCUAACACAGCACCAACC